rnacentral:tRNA from 1 species
GCCCGCGUAGCUCAACUGGCAGAGCAUCGCAUUCGUAAUGCGAAGGUUGGGAGUUCGAUUCUCCCCGCUGGCU